UUGAAAUUGAUGUUUGUAUUCAAGAAGAAGCCUUUGAUCAAAAGAUAAAGCAAGAAAUUGUAGAUGUUGAUAUUUACAAUGAUGAAAUUUUUCAUAAUUCUGCUCAUGAACAUGCUUCUCCUGGUAUUCCAAAAAUAAUAAAU